rnacentral:rRNA from 1 species
UACGUAGGGGGCUAGCGUUGUCCGGAAUCAUUGGGCGUAAAGAGCGUGUAGGCGGUCCGGUAAGUCCGCUGUGAAAGUCGGGGGCUCAACCCUCGAAUGCCGGUGGAUACUGUCGGGCUAGAGUGCGGGAAGAGGCGAAGUGGAAUUCCUGGUGGAUAGCGGUGGAAAUACGGCAGAUAUCAGGAGGAACACCUAUUGCGAAGGCAGCUCGCUGGGACGUAACUGACGCUGAGACGCGAAAGCGUGGGGAGCAAACAGG